CCUACGGGUGGCAGCAGUAGGGAAUAUUGCUCAAUGGGGGAAACCCUGAAGCAGCAACGCCGCGUGGAGGAUGAAGGUUUUCGGAUUGUAAACUCCGUUUGGUAGAGAAGAAAAGGACGGUAGCUAACGAAUAAGCACCGGCUAACUCCGUGACAGCAGCCGCGGGAAUACGGAGGGUGCAAGCGUUACUCGGAAUGACUGGGCGUAAAGAGAGCGUAGGCGGGAUAGCAAGUCAGAUGUGAAAGCCUAUGGCUUAACCAUAGAACUGCAUUUGAAACUGUUAUUCUAGAGUAUGGGAGAGGUAGGUGGCAUUCUUGGUGUAGCGGUCAAAUCCGUAGAGAUCACGAGGAAUUCUCAUUGCGAAGGCGACCUGCUAGAACAUAACUGACGCUGAUGCGCGAAAGCGUGGGGAGCAAACAGGAUUAGAUACCCGAGUAGUC
rnacentral:rRNA from 1 species